UAUAUGUUACUGAGGAAUCGAACCCAGGGCUUCAUGCAUGCUAGGCAAGCACUCUACCACUAAGCCACAUUCCCACCCGAAAUGUGACAAUUUCUGAUUAUCACUUGUUAAUCUCCUUACAAGUUGUUCACUUGAGUUGUAUCUGUUUCCUGAUUCUUGCCUUUGAGUCAUAAUUAUCCAAGUAGAAAACCAUAAUUGUGAUUCUGAUGUCUGCUUAUGCCAAUCCCUUACUUUUCACAUAAAACAAAACAAUCUAGCCCCAAAUGUACAUCACUGAUCACUUAGUUAGACAUUGAUACUUGCUUGACUUUGCUGAAUACAAGUGGGUAGGAAAACAUAUACACAUAUAUGUGACAAUAGCAGCGAAGGACAAAGAAAGGGGCAAUCUUUUAACUAACUUAAC